rnacentral:rRNA from 1 species
UACGUAGGGGGCUAGCGCUGUCCGGAAUCAUUGGGCGUAAAGAGCGCGUAGGCGGCCCGGUAAGUCCGCUGUAAAAGUCAAAGGCUCAACCGUUUGAAGGUCAGUGGAUACUGCCGGGCUAGAGUCCGGAAGAGGCGAGUGGAAUCUCCUGGUGUAGCGGUGGAAUGCGCAGAUAUCAGGAAGAACACCAACGGCGAAGGCAGCUCGCUAGGACGGAACUGACGCUGAGGCGCGAAAGCGUGGGGAGCGAACAGGG